UACGGAGGGUGCGAGCGUUGUCCGGAAUCACUGGGCGUAAAGGGCGCGUAGGCGGCAGGUCAAGCGUGCGGUGAAAGUCCGGGGCUCAACCCCGGAUCUGCCGUGCGGACUGGUUUGCUAGAGCACUGUAGAGGCGAGUGGAAUUCCGAGUGUAGAGGUGAAAUUCGUAGAUAUUCGGAAGAAUACCAGUGGCGAAGGCGGCUCACUGGCUCAUACUGGACGCUGAGGUGCGAAAGCGUGGGGAGCAAACAGG
rnacentral:rRNA from 1 species